rnacentral:rRNA from 1 species
UACGAAGGGGGCUAGCGUUGCUCGGAAUCACUGGGCGUAAAGCGCACGUAGGCGGCUUUUUAAGUCAGGGGUGAAAUCCUGGAGCUCAACUCCAGAACUGCCUUUGAUACUGGGAAGCUUGAGUCCGGAAGAGGUGAGUGGAACUCCGAGUGUAGAGGUGAAAUUCGUAGAUAUUCGGAAGAACACCAGUGGCGAAGGCGGCUCACUGGUCCGGUACUGACGCUGAGACGCGAAAGCGUGGGGAGCAAACAGG